rnacentral:rRNA from 1 species
UACGGAGGGAGCUAGCGUUAUUCGGAAUUACUGGGCGUAAAGCGCACGUAGGCGGCUUUGUAAGUAAGAGGUGAAAGCCCAGAGCUCAACUCUGGAAUUGCCUUUUAGACUGCAUCGCUUGAAUCAUGGAGAGGUCAGUGGAAUUCCGAGUGUAGAGGUGAAAUUCGUAGAUAUUCGGAAGAACACCAGUGGCGAAGGCGGCUGGCUGGACAUGUAUUGACGCUGAGGUGCGAAAGCGUGGGGAGCAAACAGG